rnacentral:rRNA from 1 species
AUUGAACGCUGGCGGCAUGCCUUACACAUGCAAGUCGAACGGUAACAGGUCUUCGGAUGCUGACGAGUGGCGAACGGGUUAGUAAUACAUCGGAACGUGCCCGAUCGUGGGGGAUAACGGAGCGAAAGCUUUGCUAAUACCGCAUACGAUCUACGGAUGAAAGCAGGGGACCGCAAGGCCUUGCGCGGACGGAGCGGCCGAUGGCAGAUUAGGUAGUUGGUGGGAUAAAAGCUUACCAAGCCGACGACCUGUAGCUGGUCUGAGAGGACGACCAGCCACACUGGGACUGAGACACGGCCCAGACUCCUACGGGAGGCAGCAGUGGGGGAUUUUGGACAAUGGGCGCAAGCCUGAUCCAGCCAUGCCGCGUGCAGGAUGAAGGCCUUCGGGUUGUAAACUGCUUUUGUACGGAACGAAAAGACUCUGGUUAAUACCUGGGGUCCAUGACGGUACCGUAAGAAUAAGCACCGGCUAACUACGUGCCAGCCGCCGCAGUAAGAC